UACGUAGGGGGGCUAGCGUUGUCCGGAAUCAUUGGGCGUAAAGGGCGCGUAGGCGGUGCGGUAAGUCACCUGUGAAACCUCUGGGCUUAACUCAGAGCCUGCAGGCGAAAACUGCCGUGCUUGAGUGUGGGAGAGGUGCGUGGAAUUCCCGGUGUAGCGGUGAAAUGCGUAGAUAUCGGGGAGGAACACCUGUGGCGAAAGCGGCGCACUGGACCACAACUGACGCUGAGGCGCGAAAGCUAGGGGAGCAAACAGG
rnacentral:rRNA from 1 species